GAUGAACGCUAGCUACAGGCUUAACACAUGCAAGUCGAGGGACCGGCGCACGGGUGAGUAACACGUAUCCAACCUGCCCUUUACUCGGGGAUAGCCUUUCGAAAGAAAGAUUAAUACCCGAUAUAAAGGAUGGGGAUGCGUUCCAUUAGGUUGUUGGUGAGGUAACGGCUCGCCAAGCCCUCGAUGGAUAGGGGUCCGGAGAGGAAGGUCCCCCACGUUGGAACGAAGGCACGGUCCAAUCGCCGAGGGGGUGCAGGGGUAAGGAAUAUUUGUCAAUGGGCGCUAGCCUGAACCAGCCAAGUAGCUGGAAAAAUGAAUGCUUAUGAGUCGUAAGUUUCUUUUAAAGAAGAAGAUGUAUUAAAUGAAUAAGGAUCGGCUAACUCCGUGCCAGCAGCCGCGGUAAUAC
rnacentral:rRNA from 1 species